rnacentral:rRNA from 1 species
UACGGUAGGGUCCGAGCGUUGUCCGGAAUUAUUGGGCGUAAAGGGCGCGUAGGCGGUGCGGUAAGUCUGUAGUGAAAUCUCUGGGCUCAACUCAGAGUCUGCUGCAGAAACUGGCCGUGCUUUGAGUGUGGGAGAGGUGGAGUGGAAUUCCCGGUGUAGCGGUGAAAUGCGUAGAUAUCGGGAGGAAUACCUAUGGCGAAGGCAAUCCCCUGGACCUGUACUGACGCUCAUGCACGAAAGCGUGGGGAGCAAACAGG